rnacentral:rRNA from 1 species
UGGAUGAUGUGGUUAAUUCGAUGCAACGCGAAAACCUUACCCACCUUUGACAUGUACGGAAUCCUUUAGAGAUAGAGGAGUGCUCGAAAGAGAACCGUUAACACAGGUGCUGCAUGGCUGUCGUCAGCUCGUGUCGUGAGAUGUUGGGUUAAGUCCCGCAACGAGCGCAACCCUUGUCAUUAGUUGCUACAUUCAGUUGGGCACUCUAAUGAGACUGCCGGUGACAAACCGGAGGAAGGUGGGGAUGACGUCAAGUCCUCAUGGCCCUUAUAGGUGGGGCUACACACGUCAUACAAUGGAUGGUACAAAGGGUCGCCAACCCGCGAGGGGGAGCCAAUCCCAUAAAGCCAUUCGUAGUCCGGAUCGCAGUCUGCAACUCGACUGCGUGAAGUCGGAAUCGCUAGUAAUCGUGGAUCAGAAUGUCACGGUGAAUACGUUCCCGGGUCUU